UAUGAACACUUACUUACAUUGGUCCUCCUCUCCUUCCACAGACGACAAGCGUUACAUUCGGUCAAAAGAGAUUAGACUAAUAAAGGAAAUAGAGACAGUAACAGCGCAGGUAGAUGGUAAUGGAAACUGUACUAUAGAGGCACAAAAUAGGUUGGAGGAAAAACAAAAAGAACUGGAGCAGACAUGGAGCCCAGGUUCAGAAAACUGACAUAUCGAAGCCUUGUCUUAACAGACAAUAAGGAUUCCAGGAUUUACAGGACAAAAACUACUAAAAGAGCAGGGCUGGGCUGUACUGCUCAGAGGUGGCAACCCAGUAAGCUAGGCACAUUUGCUGGGUCAGCAUGAGAUGCAGUUGGGCCUUUAUAAGGAGCAGUCCUUCAAGUGGGUGGUUAAAAAUGUGCUGGGCUGGGUAUUUGGUGGCAUCAAUGCACAAAGAAUCUGCCUCUCAGCAAGUUUGGAGUAAUUUCAAAAACCAUGCUAUGAAUAAGAUGGCUUUCAAGGAAUACAUGGAGCUCUUCCUUGAGGGCCGGGAUGCUAUCCGGAUUAAGUCCAACAAAAAGACAUCCUCCACCACCCAGCCAUCCUUCAACACCCAUGUGUAUUUCAGGAAUCUGUUGGCCCAGACAACUUCAGAGGUUAUGGUGCAAUCCAGGACUUUGCUGAUUACCUGGUCACACACCGUUUUCAUGGCCCUCAGCAUGCAAGAAUGCACCCUUAUUAGCCACCUGUGGAAUGCUCUGGGGGACUAUGACUUAAUUAAAUCUGAACACAAAAGCCCUUAGCUGAAUGCUUUAAUUACAUUUGACCAAUUCAUGUCAGUCUUGUCAGAAUGCUACAUUGCCUGAACAAUUUUAUUUUGAUGUGUGCAUAUUGUAAAUUCUUAUUAGGUCCACUGAUUUCAAACAAUUGGACAACUGUAGGCAUACUCGCCAUCUCACGUUUCUGCAAUUCUGUGUAUCUUCAAUAAGGCUAUUUUAUUGAUUUACCAUCAAAACAAAAGUGAAAAUUAAGAUUUGAUGUUAACAGACUAUAAUAUAUUGGGACAAACCAAAAUGUACUCCUGUGGUGUAUUGGAUAACAUGUACCCUUCUGGGUAUAAGAAUCAGGUUCAAAUUCUGAUGGGGGUGAGUGGUUUGACAAAAAAUGACCGGUUUUCAUAUUAUGAAGUUAUGGAUGAUGAUGACAGAUUUACGGGGUAAGAUGAGCGAGUAAUGUCGGCAGAAUUGUUACACGGUUCUAAAUUCAAUCACCUUCAUCCUCAUCAUUCAGUUAAUUGAAAUUCAAUUUUGUCAUGCACAAUUAUCAGUUUCUAUUUGGUUUAUGUUGCCCAUUCAUUGUCAGUUAAAGACACAGUAGUGCCUUGGGAC
ensembl:lncRNA